rnacentral:rRNA from 1 species
CAGAAGUGCGAAUGCUGACAUAAGUAACGAUAAAGCGGGUGAAAAGCCCGCUCGCCGGAAGACCAAGGGUUCCUGUCCAACGUUAAUCGGGGCAGGGUGAGUCGACCCCUAAGGCGAGGCCGAAAGGCGUAGUCGAUGGGAAACAGGUUAAUAUUCCUGUACUUGGUGUUACUGCGAAGGGGGGACGGAGAAGGCUAUGUUGGCCGGGCGACGGUUGUCCCGGUUUAAGCGUGUAGGCUGGUUUUCCAGGCAAAUCCGGAAAAUCAAGGCUGAGGCGUGAUGACGAGGCACUACGGUGCUGAAGCAACAAAUGCCCUGCUUCCAGGAAAAGCCUCUAAGCAUCAGGUAACAUCAAAUCGUACCCCAAACCGACACAGGUGGUCAGGUAGAGAAUACCAAGGCGCUUGAGAGAACUCGGGUGAAGGAACUAGGCAAAAUGGUGCCGUAACUUCGGGAGAAGGCACGCUGAUAUGUAGGUGAAGUCCCUCGCGGAUGGAGCUGAAAUCAGUCGAAGAUACCAGCUGGCUGCAACUGUUUAUUAAAAACACAGCACUGUGCAAACACGAAAGUGGACGUAUACGGUGUGACGCCUGCCCGGUGCCGGAAGGUUAAUUGAUGGGGUCAGCGCAAGCGAAGCUCUUGAUCGAAGCCCCGGUAAACGGCGGCCGUAACUAUAACGGUCCUAAGGUAGCGAAAUUCCUUGUCGGGUAAGUUCCGACCUGCACGAAUGGCGUAAUGAUGGCCAGGCUGUCUCCACCCGAGACUCAGUGAAAUUGAACUCGCUGUGAAGAUGCAGUGUACCCGCGGCAAGACGGAAAGACCCCGUGAACCUUUACUAUAGCUUGACACUGAACAUUGAGCCUUGAUGUGUAGGAUAGGUGGGAGGCUUAGAAGUGUGGACGCCAGUCUGCAUGGAGCCGACCUUGAAAUACCACCCUUUAAUGUUUGAUGUUCUAACGUUGACCCGUAAUCCGGGUUGCGGACAGUGUCUGGUGGGUAGUUUGACUGGGGCGGUCUCCUCCUAAAGAGUAACGGAGGAGCACGAAGGUUGGCUAAUCCUGGUCGGACAUCAGGAGGUUAGUGCAAUGGCAUAAGCCAGCUUGACUGCGAGCGUGACGGCGCGAGCAGGUGCGAAAGCAGGUCAUAGUGAUCCGGUGGUUCUGAAUGGAAGGGCCAUCGCUCAACGGAUAAAAGGUACUCCGGGGAUAACAGGCUGAUACCGCCCAAGAGUUCAUAUCGACGGCGGUGUUUGGCACCUCGAUGUCGGCUCAUCACAUCCUGGGGCUGAAGUAGGUCCCAAGGGUAUGGCUGUUCGCCAUUUAAAGUGGUACGCGAGCUGGGUUUAGAACGUCGUGAGACAGUUCGGUCCCUAUCUGCCGUGGGCGCUGGAGAACUGAGGGGGGCUGCUCCUAGUACGAGAGGACCGGAGUGGACGCAUCACUGGUGUUCGGGUUGUCAUGCCAAUGGCACUGCCCGGUAGCUAAAUGCGGAAGAGAUAAGUGCUGAAAGCAUCUAAGCACGAAACUUGCCCCGAGAUGAGUUCUCCCUGACCCUUUAAGGGUCCUGAAGGAACGUUGAAGACGACGACGUUGAUAGGCCGGGUGUGUAAGCGCAGCGAUGCGUUGAGCUAACCGGUACUAAUGAACCGUGAG